rnacentral:rRNA from 1 species
GUAGGGUGCAAGCGUUAAUCGGAAUUACUGGGCGUAAAGCGUGCGCAGGCGGUUUUGUAAGUCUGUCGUGAAAGCCCCGGGCUCAACCUGGGAAUUGCGAUGGAGACUGCAAGGCUUGAAUCUGGCAGAGGGGGGUAGAAUUCCACGUGUAGCAGUGAAAUGCGUAGAGAUGUGGAGGAACACCGAUGGCGAAGGCAGCCCCCUGGGUCAAGAUUGACGCUCAUGCACGAAAGCGUGGGGGGAGCAAACAGGAUUAGAUACCCUGGUAGUCCACGCCCUAAACGAUGUCUACUAGUUGUCGGGUUUUAAUUAACUUGGUAACGCAGCUAACGCGUGAAGUAGACCGCCUGGGGAUACGGUCGCAAGAUUA